rnacentral:rRNA from 1 species
GUACCCGCUGAACUUAAGCAUAUCAAUAAGCGGAGGAAAAGAAACUAACAAGGAUUCCCCUAGUAACGGCGAGUGAAGCGGGAAUAGCUCAAAUUUGAAAUCUCAUAGGUUUACCUGUGCGAAUUGUAGUUUAAAGAAACGUUUUCGGGAGCGGCUUGGGUAUAAGUCCUUUGGAAAGAGGCACCUAAGAGGGUGACAGUCCCGUGCAUGAUCCAAUGUCCGCUUCUAUGUGAUACGUUCUCAAAGAGUCAGGUAGUUUGGGAUUGCUGCCUAAAAUGGGUGGUAAAUACCAUCUAAAGCUAAAUAUUGGCGAGAGACCGAUAGCGAACAAGUACCGUGAGGGAAAGAUGAAAAGAACUUUGAAAAGAGAGUUAAACAGUACGUGAAAUUGCCAAAAGGGAAACGCUUGGAACCAGUAUUGUUUGCAUGUAAUCAAGUACACGUUCCGCAAGGGUCGCGUGUGCUGCACUUGCGUGUAGACAGGCCAACAUCAGUUUGAUUUGAGGUACAAAGCCUGAGAAAGGUAGCUUGGAUUCGUCUGAGUGUUAUAGUCUCUGGUCAUGCCUUGGAUUGGACUGAGGACUGCAGCGUUUUUUGGGUUACCUGGUGGCUGCUUGAAACCAACCUUUAGACAGCAUGCUGACUUUGGGCGGGCGUAGGGUACUCAUUAGGAUAACCACACCAGCGCUUAGGAUGUCGGCGAAAUGGUUCCAAACGACCCGUCUUGAAACACGGACCAAGGAGUCUAACAUAUAUGCGAGUAUUUGGGUGGCAAACCCUUAUGCGAAAUGAAAGUAAAUUUGGUGCGAUCUUUAAUGCGCAGCAUCGACCGGUCUGGAUUCUUUUGAUAGAUCUGAGUAAGAGCAUACAUGUUGGGACCCGAAAGAUGGUGAACUAUGCCUGAAUAGGGUGAAGCCAGAGGAAACUCUGGUGGAGGCUCGUAGCGAUUCUGACGUGCAAAUCGAUCGUCAAAUUUGGGUAUAGGGGCGAAAGACUAAUCGAACCAUCUAGUAGCUGGUUCCCUCCGAAGUUUCCCUCAGGAU